rnacentral:lncRNA from 1 species
GAGAUAGAGUAAGAGAGUAAGGACAGUUAGUUUUAGCUUUGCUCAGCCUAAGGCACAGGGUGGUAACCGUUCUCAACAUAGUCAUAAGUUUUUAGUCCUAGCUCCAUCCUCAGCUAGUGCACCAGUACCCAAGUUUAGGAAUGACUGUAAUGAUGUGCUCCAGUGUUCAAGGCCCAGGUUAGUGAGAGCAGGAGUCUUUCCUAACUGCUUUGCAAAAAGUAUGGUAAGAAUCACCUAGGUACAUGUAGGGUAGGUAGUGAUGUAUGCUUUGGGUGUGGCAAGCAGGACACAGGAUGUGAGAGUGUAGAGUUCUAGCAUAGAGGGGCAAAGAUUUGUGUUAGUAGGGCA